rnacentral:rRNA from 1 species
AGUGAACGCUGGCGGUAGGCCUAACACAUGCAAGUCGAACGGCAGCACAGUAAGAGCUUGCUCUUACGGGUGGCGAGUGGCGGACGGGUGAGGAAUACAUCGGAAUCUACUUUUUCGUGGGGGAUAACGUCGGGGACCUUACGCUAAUACCACAUACGACCUACGGGUGUAAGCAAGGGAUCUUCGGACCUUGCGCGAUUGAAUGAGCCGAUGUCGGAUUAGCUAGUUGGCGGGGUAAAGGCCCACCAAGGCGACGAUCCGUAGCUGGUCUGGGAGGAUGAUCAGCCACACUGGAACGGAGACACGGUCCAGACUCCUACGGGAGGCAGCAGUGGGGAAUAUUGAGCAAUGGGCGCAAGCCUGAUCCAGCCAUACCGCGUGGGUGAAGAAGGCCUUCGGGUUGUAAAGCCCUUUUGUUGGGAAAGAAAAGCAGCAGGUUAAUACCCCGCUGUGCUGACGGUACCCAAAGAAUAAGCACCGGCUAACUUCGUG